CCUGGAACAUGGUCCAAUACCACGAUACGAUACGAAUGGUAAAUUUCAUAAAUCUACCAUCUACCAUCGGUAUUGUUGUCGAUUUGUGUCUAUUGUACAGUGCAUCCAUACCAGUGGUACCAGUGGUAAGAUAUGGUUACGGAUCGUGAAAGUACGUUUACCAUCCGUAAACCAAGGGCCAUGGCAGUUAGGGUACCCUUCAAAAUCAUGUCGAGUGGUACCAGUGGUAAGAUAUGGUUACGGAUCGUGAAAGUAAGUUUACCAUCCGUAAACCAAGGGCCAUGGCAGUUGGGGUACCCUUCUAAAUCAUGUCGAGUGGUACCAGUGGUACCAGUGGUAAGAUAUGGUUACGGAUGGUGAAAGUAAGUUUACCAUCGGUAAACCAAGGGCCAUGGCAGUUGGGGUACCCUUCAAAAUUAUGUCGAG